AUGGGGUCGGUUGUGCUUAUGCUACACUUUAUGCUCUUUUGCACAGAUCUAGGUGUCAGAGAAGCUUACGAUGCGUAGUAGUAGUCAGGGAGCCGAACUUCAGUCUACGAGACUCCGAGGUAGCCUUGCUGGCGCCUGCAUGCUCGACAUCUCUUCUAUCAGUUUUCAUAUUCUGUUGACAUUUGUAUUCGAGACAGUGUAUGUCCUUUAUUUCAAACUCUCAUUUGCAGUAAUCCUAGACAGUCUGUGUAUUGUUGUGACACCAAGUGCUGGGUAGAGACUUGUAUUGAUUUUCUAGACUGUUUCUAUAUUUAGUUCAGACUUCCGCUAAAUUUUACUUUUUGUUGUCUUUUAAUUGCUUAUUCGUUGAUAAUUUAAUUAUUUAAUCAUCUAUAAAACGAGGUGGGUUAAUAUUUGCAAAGGUUCUUGGCUUGUCCUGAAGUGUGGAAUCAAAUGUUUCUCAAUCAUACCUUCUCAAAUAAAACUAUGAGUAUGAACUUAAGCUAUUACACAAGAUUUAUGCAAAUUCUGAGUUUACAAUAAUCAAACAUCCUUUAUACAUACUGGAAUAGAGUGUUACCAAAAUUAAACUGCUUCUUCUCAUGUUUUUUUGGAAUCAGACAACUCAAUCCCAAACAUCCAAGGCUUAAACAGUUGAAUCACAUAUAAACUAAACUUCCCAAAUAUUUGAUUAUAAUGUGAUGCUUCUCAUCUUUACAUAAGACAAAAAAAUAUGCUUAUAGACUAAAUGAUUCUGAACACAUGAAUUUCACUUUUAGCAAGUAAUAUUAAAUAAAGUAAUAGCCCUAUCAAGUAAAAUAUGCUUAUGCUUCAGGAAACCAAGCUUAAAUAACAAUUUUACUCUAGCUAGCAUUUUUAUCUAAAACAAAGAUUAUGUCAAAAAGAUAAGUUCAGAUAUGGAUCCAUCAACUUACAAACAUUUAUGAAAUCAUAUAAGAGCAAUCAAACAGUCAUUACUUCAUAUUAAAAUAGAAAAAAUUUGACUGUUCUAAAGAUUAGAGUUGUGCAGAAUUAUAGAGGCGUACCUAAUUUCCAAGAAAACAACAGAAAACCAGAAAAUAAGUCUUUGAAUCAGCAGGAAUAUCAGCAAGGUAACAGCUUCAGAUCAAGAGCACAAAUCCAACAGCUCAACCAAAGGAAGAAACUCAGAAAAAACUGUGAAAACCUGAAUCCAAAUUGACUUUUGUUCCUCUUUAUAUGCUUUGAAUGAUUUGUAAAGUAAAAUUUCAGAUUGACCUUUUUCAAUGUGACGAGAAAAUCAGCUUAUAUGUGAGUGCUUUUUGUAUGUCUGGAAGAGAAUUAUUCUGUAUUUUUUGGAUGUGUGUGUAUUCAGAGAAUUCGAGAGACUCAAAUGCGAGGAUAUGAGGUCUUAUAUAGAAUGAAAUAUAUCCUAUGCUCAACAGAAUGAGUAAAUAAUAGAGAUGUGAGGGAUUCUUUUUGAAAUCCUGUCAGCUAAAAAUCAGGAGAUUAACA
rnacentral:lncRNA from 1 species